CUCCCCGGCCGGCCGCUCGAGCUUCCCUCCAGGGCUCGCUUAAGCUCGCGGCGCCGCACUCGAGUGCCCGGAGCGGGCAACGUACAGACUCCAGCUCCCCGCGGCUGCCUGCGCCCCGCUCCCCGCCAGCCUCGGGAGGCGGCGCCGCACAGCUCCCCCGGCGGAGCAGCCCAGCUGAUCACAGGCUGCGGGGACCGCUCUCCAGCCACAGCUGCCGCCACAUGUGGGAGCAGGGACAGCCCGCAGCUCUGCCCGGCCAGGGCGUCCCCGCCUCCUGCAAGCGAGACACGUACAGGGCCAAGCUCGACGCUCCGGCAGCCACCGACUGCGGCUCUGACACAGGCAAGCACCGAGCGAGCCCAACGCUGUAAAUAGCGCGGCGCCGACCUAGCCUGCCCCGACGCCCGCCCCUCGCUCCUCCCACCAUGCCCCCAGCACCGCUCUCAUAGGUUCCGCUUCUCUGCCACUCACAGCAGCCUGGAGCCUGCGGUCGCCCCGCCCCCCCGCCGCUUGCAAAUGGGCCCGGGGGGGAUCCGCAAUUCAUGCCCAGGGCAGCGAGGGGCGGGGCGGAGCGGAAGCAGAGCGCCCGGGUGUCCCGGCAGGACAGACGCGUCUCCGCGGAACACGACGCUCCCCCAUCCCCGCAUUCACACCAGCCUUGCAGCAAGGCUUGGGGCGCUCCCCCGCAGUGUUUCCAAUCCAACACUUUAAAGUCACGCCCGCCCCACCUUGGUGCUCAGGGCCCCGAUCAGCCAACUCGUAAGAACCAAACUGCCUGGGGACACUUGCCCAAACCAAGCCCUGCCUCGCCCGAGGAGGAAUGUGCCAAUGCAUAAAUUCGGUAACAAUGUGGAUACCAGAAAUGUCAUUGCAUCAAGCUUUUUAAAAGAAAUUACAACACACCAAGGUUCACGAUGCCACAUCACCCACUAAUGGAAUUACAACUGAAGCAAUGUGCUACUGGUGCCUUUUAUUUGCACACAUAGGAAAAUCUCAAUUUGCCAAAGUAAUUUAUAAUCUUCUAGCUCAGCAUUUCCUCUAUGUUCUCAGAAUUGAUGACAAGUGUAUUUAGCAGGCUUCGCUGUCGUGUGUGGCACGUAUGCUCUGGAGUUGGUAGUUGGUUUGUGUUCAUUAAGUUGCAUUGUUGCGUUAAAGUAAUAUGAGAGACUAUUUCUGAAUAUUACAAAUGUUCUGUCAAACUGAACAUGUAUAGACUCUAAUAUCUUGUCUAGAGGGCAAUGUGUUUGAAAUCAAUUUUAAGAGGCAAAAUUUCCUCAACAGCUGUCAUGUUUGAGUUGUGAUCUAACAUUUACUAUAAAACAUUUCAACUUCUGUUUUCAAGCUAUACAGAUGUUUGAAGUGCCACAGCUGGGAGGGACUUGCAGGGUGCAACUACUACUCACCAAUCUUUGCUCCCUUGAAACCUGUGGAGUUCAUUCUCCAGGGGAUCCACUCUGGUUUGAGCCAUGGAGGGAUGUGUCAGGAGGCACGGCGUUUGAUUUACUCAUGACUACCACAUUUCCUCCUCCUCUCUGAUUACUAGCACAAGCAUUCUGCAUAGGAAACUGUGGGGUCCCAUGACGGACCAUACACAAACAAAAUAAUUCAGCCUUUGCAAUACUAGUUUGCUUCUCUUUUAGAGGCAAAAGCAAACAGGGACAGACUUGGCCCAUAAAAGGGACAGGAGACAGGCCUAGCGCAAAGCAAAAUAAUGAUAUGUUCUGCAACAAGAAGGAAUGUGGGAUAAUAACUACAAGGAACCAGCAAGCAAAGCACCCGAGGCCUGAGGCAGCAUGAGGAGGUGUCUGUAACAAUCAUGAGAGAGCAGCCCGGAGCCUUAACUUGUAAUGACUAUGUAGCCCACAUAUCAAAAGGCUCUCCCACAAACACACACAACUACAAAUACAAUGAAGCCCUUUGAAAUGAAUACUGAAUAAAGGAAUAACAUGGUUUCA
rnacentral:lncRNA from 1 species